AUUGAACGCUGGCGGCAGGCCUAACACAUGCAAGUCGAGCGGAUGAAGGGAGCUUGCUCCUGGAUUCAGCGGCGGACGGGUGAGUAAUGCCUAGGAAUCUGCCUGGUAGUGGGGGAUAACGUCCUGAAACGGGCGCUAAUACCGCAUACGUCCUGAGGGAGAAAGUGGGGGAUCUUCGGACCUCACGCUAUCAGAUGAGCCUAGGUCGGAUUAGCUAGUUGGUGGGGUAAAGGCCUACCAAGGCGACGAUCCGUAACUGGUCUGAGAGGAUGAUCAGUCACACUGGAACUGAGACACGGUCCAGACUCCUACGGGAGGCAGCAGUGGGGAAUAUUGGACAAUGGGCGAAAGCCUGAUCCAGCCAUGCCGCGUGUGUGAAGAAGGUCCUCGGAUUGUAAAGCACUUUAAGUUGGGAGGAAGGGCAGUAAGUUAAUACCUUGCUGUUUUGACGUUACCAACAGAAUAAGCACCGGCUAACUUCGUG
rnacentral:rRNA from 1 species